rnacentral:rRNA from 1 species
UCCCAACUGCAGACCGUACUCAUCACCGCAUCAGGUCCCCAAGCAUCGA